GGUAGAAUGGCUGAGUAGUAGGCAAUAAAUUGUAAAUUUAUUUAGGAGAUAAAUCUCUUCUACCA
rnacentral:tRNA from 1 species